rnacentral:rRNA from 1 species
AACUCUCAACGAUGGAUGCCUCGGCUCGAGAAUCGAUGAAGGACGCAGCGAAGUGCGAUAAGCACUGCGAUUUGCAGAAUUCCGUGAACCCAGUAGAAAUCUCAACGCAUAC